rnacentral:lncRNA from 1 species
UAUUACCCAGCCCCGGGUCCUUGUCUUUUUAGAAAGAAAGGGAACAGAUGGGUUUAUAGUAAUUCAUAUUCUUUCUCCUCACGGCGGGAAUCAGAGAUUAAAUCAGUGGGUAACCAAGACUGGCUGCCAUGGAGUUCUGCUCCGUUCCUAAUUCCCCUGGAAUAGAAAGAGAGGCGUGGAAUUGGCAGAGCCCUGGCAGCGUGAUGAGGAAACAGACCCCAUUCUGCAGUAAUUAGAAAAC